rnacentral:rRNA from 1 species
UACGUAGGAGGCAAGCGUUGUCCGGAAUUAUUGGGCGUAAAGAGCGUGUAGGCGGUCCGGUAAGUCAGCUGUGAAAGUCAAGGGCUCAACCCUUGAAAGCCGGUUGAUACUGUCGGGCUAGAGUCCGGAAGAGGCGAGUGGAAUUCCCGGUGUAGCGGUGAAAUGCGCAGAUAUCGGGAAGAACACCAGUGGCGAAGGCGCUCUACUGGGCCACAACUGACGCUGAGGGACGAAAGCUAGGGGAGCGAAAGGG